UUUUUAUUGUUUGUCGUUAUUAAUAGUGUUUUAAACUAAGGAGGAAAGUGACAAAGAGCUUGAGGACUUUCAUGGCUCCCAGGCCCUGGAUGCCGGGUGGCGGCAUCGAACACACAGAACCAAGAAGUCUGAGGGCAGCCGGGUGGUGCCUGAGGCCUCAAGCACCAGGCUUAUUUCACUUACCACAGCUUCUAGAUCUAUCCCUGUUGUUGCAAAUGACACGGGUGGAUAGUUUGAAGACAUUGGCCUACCAAGAUGACAACAGGCUUAAAAAAUAAAAUUCAUAAGA